UUAGGGAUUAAUUUUACGAUUUUUAGUGUUAAGAAUUUUUUUGAGUGUUCAUAUUUUUCUGGAAAAAGCUCCACCGGAGCUCCGACCAAGUCCACCACCAAAACCCACAAACCCUUUUUUUUUCGGAAAACCAGUCCACCACCAAACAAUUUUCACCCCUCGUCUCUUCCUUUUUGCGUGGCUAGCAACAAUGAACAACCAAACACACCCUCCUCCCUCAUGCCAAAUCUGGUAAAAAAACAGUGAGAUCCAAAAACCACAAGGCCAUCAGCCAGCAAACAACCGCCUCAAUCACUCUCUUUCCUCCAUCAAAAACCACCAAAAUCCCAUCGUUUUUCUCCUUUUUCCAGUGAAAAUGUCACCGGAAACGACCCCAAGACCUCAGACCACCACCGAAAUCAGACCCGGCGAGCACCCUCAUCGCAAGCGAGCUCGAGAAUCAACAAAACCAGAAAGUUUCGACACCAACACCACCUCUAGCAAACAAGUAAUCUAUAUUUUAGUUUUUUACUAUAGCUAUUUUGUUUCGUUAUUUUUCAGAUAUGGCCGGAGGAGUUCAAACUGUGGCCAAUGUUAUUUUCAUUUUUCUUUGAUAAAGUUUGUCUUCUCUGAUUGACUGUGUUGACAUUUUAAAUUGUGUUAUUUCGCUUUGAUUGUUUAUUCACAAUGUAUUGAUUUGAUGUUUGUUUUGACUUUAACAAUGGUUAUACUUCGAAUUGUUUAUUUAAAUUAAAAUGUUUAGCGGCUAAGAAAAUUUUCAACUGUGAUAUCAUUCUUAAUUUAUUGAUGUGUCAUUAUGAUAAUUGUUAUUGAUUACAUUUCAUAUUGUUUCAUAUAGCUCUUUUAAUUUGUCAGGUCACAUUUCUUAUAGUUUAUAGUUUCUAUUAUUUUUGUCCACCGUUUUUACUUACUUAUUGGUCUACUAAACUUUUAAUUCUCAAAUAAGUUCUUGGUUGAUUCCCUCGUUAUGUAUUUGACUGUUUCUUAUCAUGUUUUGGUUAACUCUAUUUUUAAAUAUUCCUUAAAAUAGUUUUGUUCUUCUUUUUGUUGUUGUCACAAUUAACCUUAAAUACAAUUAAAAUUAGCCAAUGAGAAAAUCUCUAUGUCGGUUUUGGAGGUCUUCCCUAUGUUAAAAGACAGAAAUUUAGUUUAUGUUUAUAUUUUGUUUGUUAAUAUUGGCCGAUGAAGAAAUUACCGUCGAUUUCCAAGGCGUCCAAUGUUAAUAAGACGGGUUUUUAUUUUUAAACUAUUAUUUGAGUUAUUCAUUUUUUUUCAUAUUUAUUUAUUACUAACACUUUUAUUAAGUGUCUUUACAGGUACCCGGAGUUGCUUUUCAAGGAAGCUAUUCGAAAAAGUUUGAAGAAUAUUUUAUUCAUUGUUGUAUAUAUUAUCAGCAUCAGGCAAAUUUAGGCCAUUUAUUAUAUUAUUGUCUUACUUUAUUAUUUAUUUGUAUUCAUGUCUAUUAUAUAUGUACAUUAUAUUUUGUCUCCGCAAUUUGAAAAAAUGAAUUCAGUCGGGGUCCACCAUUGUGGAUUUCGAAGGAUGCCUAACACCUUUCCUUCGGAAUAACUUGAACCCCUUACCUAGAAUCUAUUGGUUUCGUAGA
rnacentral:lncRNA from 1 species